GUUUUAGGGACCGUCAACAAGUUACACACACGUUACCAUGGAAUUGUUUCUGGAAAUAAAUCAUAUAAAAUAAUAUAAAAAUCACUAAAAAAUACAUUUUGUCACCUGAUUGUAGUAGUAGUUGCCAAUGGUGGUCUGCUACUUACUGCAGGUAACUUUGCUAAUAUAUUGCAUUAUUGUUAAACGGAAUGCAAUUAAUAAUUUCAAAUAUAGUUUAGUCGAUUUUUUUUCGAAUAUUAAACUAUUAACUGCAUUAUGAUUAACUAUAUUGCAAUAUAUUUGUAUAUAUAUAUUUAUUCCUGAAACAAUUCCAUGGUAACGUCUCUGCCACCUAUCGGUGAGUGUAAUUUGUUGACGGUCCCUAAAACAGGUAGCAGCCAGAACGUAAAUGACGUUGUUGCACAGACAUUGAUGGCGCCAACAUGUGUUUGUGAUUUUUCGCGAUACGGUGUCCUAAACCGUCCUCAACAUACUAAGCCCUAUGUAAGGGGAGAUUUGGAGGUACCUGGUCAGGUCUUGGUCAGCCUUCAAAUCCCAGAUGUGGAGACUGCAGGGAUACCUCACAGAGAAGACACUAAAGAGUCAUCUCUCAUUCAUCGAGUGGACUCAUUGGUUUGCGAAUGACCACAAAGAUGCUCCCAUAGGCAGAUUGCUGCAUGGCAUUCACCACUUAUUCAAAUUGUAGAGGUUGAAGCAGUCUUCCUUGUGGUCACUUGCCAUAACACUGUCAUGUGUUUUAUGAAAACACCAUCAGUAACAUUUAAAAUGAGUUGAUGCAGACGGCUCUUUUUUUUGUCUGAUUUCUUCAGUGUUCAGUGCUUGUUUGUGAGAUAUGCAUUGUUUGAAAGAUAAGCCUUUGAUUUUGUUUAAUUUUAAUAUGCCUUUCAUCAACAGUGGAUUGGGGUUUUAUAACAACAAUUAAAGUGCUUAACUAAUGGUGAACGAUGUUGCAGAACAUAUAUGGUUUGUGUUGAUUGCAUGGAGAAGGGAAUAACCAGUUACAACUUGUAUGGUAAGAGCCUGGUAAUACCAUGGAAACAAACGAGGCUUCCUUUUACAGUACAGUUUCAGCUAACUUACUGGGUAAAUUGUCGUGUUUUACUUGGUAACGUCGCAGAACGUACAUGGUACAAGUUUGUGUUGACUGCAUGGAAAAGGGAAUAAUGUAUUACAAAUUAUAUGGUAAGAACCUGGUAAUACCAUGGAAACAAACAAGGCUUCCUUUUACAGUACAGUUUCAGCCUAAUUACUGGGUAAAUUGUCGUGUUUUACUUGGUAACGUCGCAGAACGUACAUGGUACAAAUUUGUGUUGACUGCAUGGAAAAGGGAAUAAUAUAUUACAAAUUAUAUGGUAAGAACCUGGUAAUACCAUGGAAACAAACAAGGCUUCCUUUUACAGUACAGUUUCAGCUUAAUUACUGGGUAAAUUGUCGUGUUUUACUUGGUAACGUCGCAGAACGUACAUGGUACAAGUUUGUGUUGACUGCAUGUAAAAGGGAAUAAUGUAUUACAAAUUAUAUGGUAAGAACAUGGUAAUACCAUGGAAACAAACAAGGCUUCCUUUUACAGUACAGUUUCAGCUUAAUUACUGGGUAAAUUGUCGUGUUUUACUUGGUAACGUCGCAGAACGUACAUGGUACAAGUUUGUGUUGACUGCAUGGAAAAGGGAAUAAUGUAUUACAAAUUAUAUGGUAAGAACCUGGUAAUACCAUGGAAACAAACGAGGCUUCCUUUUACAGUACAGUUUCAGCUUAAUUACUGGGUAAAUUGUCGUGUUUUACUU
rnacentral:lncRNA from 1 species